UUUGGGUUCGGUGUUUGGGGGGCUAGCGUACGAUUGUUUGGGGUUUGGGGCAUUUGUUUUGCCGUCGCGUCGUGAAUUGUGUGUCGUGGAGGAGCGGACGAAUGUCUCUGGUUCCGUGAUUCUGUUUUCCGCUUACGUUCGAACAGUCGGAAUAUUGAACAUUUUGGAAAGUUUUAAAAAAUAACAAAGAAAACAAAAGAAAACAGUGCAAAUAAAAAACCAUAAUACUAAAAGUGUGUACCGCUGAAUUUUACAUCAUCGACAAAUAUUGUUCCAACGUUCCGAAUGCCAUCUCUGCUGCCGAACAACAAGCCCCUCGUCGCCUAACUGUUUCUCCGUUCAAUAAGUUCAGCGAACAGACCGCGAGCGGACACAAGGACCCAAACCCAUCCAAUCCAAUCCAAUCCCAUCUGACGGGCAACGCCAACGCCAACGCCAAUUUUAACUACUGUUCGUGGCGCCACCAGCGACUAGUGGAUAAUUGAAUCAUAAAGGAAUCGGGGGCCGGGGGACGCCCGAAAAACGGAGAGGAGCUGCCCAAAAGUGUGCGUGCCCCGAAAGUUCGGCAGCGGGAAAACGCCAACAAAGCCGAGCAAAUAAUUGCUCUACCCAAAAGGAGGACAUUCCCUUCCCUUCCGUUCCGUUCAGUGUUCUGUUCUGUUCACUGUCCGUGGCCCAGGGAGAGGCAUUGCACAGAGGCCGGCUGCAGUGAAAUGACUGGCGUUCUGCUUUAAUUAAAGCUGGGCGCGGAGGAGUGCGCGGGGCGUGCACGGAGCACACGGAGUGUGGGCUCGGCAAUAAAAGGGAGGCAAUUGAAACGCAAUGUGGCUGAUGCCGUGGACCGUGGACAACGCAACAAAGUGGACGAAAUUGCUUUUGGAAGAGCGCGAACGCUUACAGACCCGCAGACAGGCAGCCGGAACGAGCUCCCAUAGAGAGAGAGAAGGAGAGAGAGAGCUAAAUAGAGAGCUAGACAUUAAUACUGAUUAAUAUUCAUAUUUUAGCCACGAUUCCUGAUUCCUGAUUCCCGAUACACAGAUACACGACCAACGACUGAGUAACCUACACACACAAACACAC